AAUUGGAGGGCAAGUCUGGUGCCAGCAGCCGCGGUAAUUCCAGCUCCAAUAGCGUAUAUUAAAGUUGUUGCAGUUAAAAAGCUCGUAGUUGAACUUCGGGGUUUAUUCAUUGGUCAGGCUUAACUGUCUGCACUGGUGAGAUGAGUCUCUACCUUCUGAGGAACUUUCAUGCCAUUUAUUUGGUGUGAUGGGAAAUCAGGACUGUUACUUUGAAAAAAUUAGAGUGUUUAAAGCAGGCUAACGUCUGAAUACAUUAGCAUGGAAUAAUGAAAUAGGACGGACUGGUUCUAUUUUGUUGGUUUCUAGGAUCACCGUAAUGAUUAAUAGGGAUAGUUGGGGGCAUUAGUAUUCAAUUGUCAGAGGUGAAAUUCUUGGAUUUAUUGAAGACUAACUUCUGCGAAAGCAUUUGCCAAGGAUGUUUUCAUUAAUCAAGAACGAAAGUUAGGGGAU
rnacentral:rRNA from 1 species